rnacentral:rRNA from 1 species
UAGGGAAUCUUCGGCAAUGGGGGCAACCCUGACCGAGCAACGCCGCGUGAGUGAAGAAGGUUUUCGGAUCGUAAAGCUCUGUUGUAAGAGAAGAACGUGUGUGAGAGUGGAAAGUUCACACAGUGACGGUAACUUACCAGAAAGGGACGGCUAACUACGUGCCAGCAGCCGCGGUAAUACGUAGGUCCCGAGCGUUGUCCGGAUUUAUUGGGCGUAAAGCGAGCGCAGGCGGUUUAAUAAGUCUGAAGUUAAAGGCAGUGGCUUAACCAUUGGUCGCUUUGGAAACUGUUAAACUUGAGUGCAGAAGGGGAGAGUGGAAUUCCAUGUGUAGCGGCGAAAUGCGUAGAUAUAUGGAGGAACACCGGUGGCGAAAGCGGCUCUCUGGUCUGUAACUGACGCUGAGGCUCGAAAGCGUGGGGAGCAAACAGG